GAUGAACGCUGGCGGCGUGCUUAACACAUGCAAGUCGAACGGAAAGGCCCAAGCUUGCUUGGGUACUCGAGUGGCGAACGGGUGAGUAACACGUGGGUGAUCUGCCCUGCACUUCGGGAUAAGCCUAGGAAACUGGGUCUAAUACCGGAUAGGACGAUGGGUUGGAUGCCAUUGUGGAAAGUUUUUUGGGUGUGGGGUGUGCGCGCGGCCUAUGAGCUUGUUGGUGGGGGAAUGGCCUACCAAGGCGUCGACGGGGAUGCGGCCGGAGAGGGGGUAGGGCGACAUUGGGCCUGGGGAACGGCCCACGGCCCAGAGGGAGGCGGCAGGGGGGAAUAGUGAACAAUGGGCGCGAGCCUGAAGCAGCGACGCCCCGUGGGGGGUGACGGCUGUCGGGUUGUAAACUCCUUUCGCUAGGGACGAAGCGUUUUUGUGACGGUACCUGGAGAAGAAGCACCGGCUAACUACGUG
rnacentral:rRNA from 1 species